rfam:Lactobacillus manihotivorans DSM 13343 = JCM 12514 strain DSM 13343 NODE_273, whole genome shotgun sequence.
AAGAGAAAAAUGAGAAAGACGAGUAGGUCGUUGAUUUGUCCAGUGAGUCAGGGCUAGUGGAAACCUGACCAACCCUCUGCGAUUGAAUAACACUUUCGAAGAUUACUAACCCAAAUGCAUUGCAAAGUAGGCUUAGUCGUGACCGGAACGUUACCACCGGAUGAGUAUGUUUGUACUCAAUGAAAAGUGGGCUAGUAAUACCCUAGCCAACUUGGGUGGUACCGCGGAAAUAAGUCUUUCGUCCCUUGU